UCAAGAUAUAUUACAUCCAUGUAUACAAUUUCCCAAGAAUAAAUUAAAGAUUAGAAAAAAUCCUCAGUGGAUUGACAUCAAUAUUCUGGGAAUAGAAAUUGCCCAGGACAUAGAGGAACGGGGUGGAACACUGAGUUUUGUGACAUACUCAGACAGGCUAGGUAGAGUUGGAGAACAUCUCUGAAAGCAAGGGACUUAAAAGUUGAAAGGGGAUUAAAAAGAAAAAUGGAAAAAAAGAAAAUCUGGCUUUAUUUGAAGGUUUUCUCUGGCAUUUGGUGGCAACAUGCUUAUCUGGGGCUUUGCUACUGGGUCCAAAGGUCCCACAAGCCAUCUCCUCUCAGUUUAAUGUGUCCUCCUCUCCCCCAAUUGGGACCCAGGUCCGUGCUCCAUGGGUAUCUGGCAAGGAAGCACGAGAGGAAGAGAGUUCUGUCUAAAAAAAGGCCUGGUCAUCAUAGACAGUACUUGACUUCACUGCCAACCAAGUACGGGGUUGCAACGAAAAACGUUUAGCAGCCUUGGGCCCCUACAGCUUUACUAAAAAAGACCCUUCCUCAUUUUCAGCCCCACCAAAAUCUUUAUUUAUUUAUUUUUGGAUUCCCAUCCCGAAUGUGGUCACUAACAGCAACGCAGGAGGCCCUCUUCCUCCUCUCCCUGUUCAGCUUUGGCUAGCAUCUCUGUCCCAGCUCCUCCACUCUUCCUUGGAGUGAAUGCGAUAGUUGGGCUUGUUUUGAGCAGACACUCACCGCAGAGGAUUCAUCAGGGAGGGAACAGAGAGCCGCAGACGAGCACGGAUUCACCCCUGUACUAAACCGGAAAGCCAGCGCUCCACCCAAGUCUGCAGAUUCUUUCCCAGGAGGCUUAGACUGAGUUCUCCUGAGUCAAGCAGACUCCUUCGGCUUGGCUUGAUGGAGAUUCUGUGGCUCCCUCUGCAGACCUCUCAGAGCCCUUGCAGAGUUCGAAUAACCUAAGCGUGGCCUCCAGCUCUCCGUGUUUUCAGGGAAUUCAUUAUAGUUAGUUCUCCAUUGCUCACUUUACAAUGGGGCUAUCUUGGCUCCGUUGGCUGGCAUUCAUUUGUCUCCGCCGUCUGCUUUGUUCCCCACUCUCUAGGUCCAGCACCCAGCUACUACUGCUGAAUCUUGUAUGCAGUGUUUUUCUCUCCAGUCCUGAACUCUGCCUCACUUGGCUUCGAUUCCUUAAUACAUUUUUUUAAAAAUCUGAGAUGGAGUGAGAGAGCUAAAAGGAUGUAAGCUGCUCUUCCAAAGUUAUGUCCAUAGCUGAAAAUGUGAACUGGAAAAUAUAGCAGUUAGCUUGGGUUUCCUUAGGCUGACCAGAGAUAUUUAUCCGCAAAUGAUGAAAAAUGGGCAGAAUGUGCAAUUCUAAGGGGACUGGAUUAAGCAAGCUUAUUCUUCUUGCCUGGGGUGAUGAAUAACGAACUCCCCUGUUGGUUUUUCCAUCUGGACUCCUUCAUGCUGACUGUCUAUGCUCCAUGUGGGGAAGUUGGGGUGGGCGGAGACCAGAAGCUGUCCCAUGGGAAAACUGGGUUGUAUGGAAGCAACAGCAAUGACAACAGAAUUUGAAUUGUUCUUAAUUCUCUUCAUUUAGCUCUCUGCCCUAGAUUUCACUGUCUAUGUUGAUCUGUGCCCCCCAAACCCAAAAAGGUUUCAUGGAGGAUGUGCUGCUUGCUUUUUCUCCCUGGAAAGGACCUGUAACAUCUCGGCACACAAGCCAAAACAUUUUUCCAACCUUUCUCUCAAACUCCUGGUGUUUUUCCUCAAAACCAGAUGCACUCUUCCCCCCAAGAAAGGGAAAGGUCUGUGUGGCUGGGUCCUGUUCUCUACAAAAUGGCACACUGUCCCUUCUUUGACAAAUCCCUGACCCAUGGGUGGAUCUUGGGGCAGUCAGGGUUCUGGGGAGCCCUUGUUGGCCAUGGCCUCUUUUCAGCAAGGUUACAUGGAACUCUUAGCACUAAUGUCUCAUGGUAGCUUCACCCAGCAGGUGAAGGACAUGGGGUGGUUGCCUUCCCCUUAUUCCUAAUCAAACGCCAGCCGCAGCCUGACUCCCUAAGUUAUCUUCUGUUUUGAGUGUUGGCACCGUUCACCCUGCACCACUGACAUCCACAAACUGGGCAUUCUGUCUCUACUAAGUUCUACAUGGGAUUUAAUCAAUAGCCACGCUGGAGCUUGGAAAACCAAUACAAAAAGAGUUAGAUAUCAGAAUGGCUUGCUCUUAGUCUUCACUAUCUUUGUGUGAGUCAAUUCCUCAAGCUGUUGCUGCUGCCUAGCACCCAAGUCCCCCAGCUGUGUCUCCUUCCAUCUUGGCUGUAGCGUUUCUCCUUCCUCUCAUUUCUCAAUAAAUCACUGAGGAGCUGCUCCCCGUGGAGUAUUAUGACCAUGGCUGAUGAUGGCUUCAUUCUGAGAGCAACUUAACUCAGAGACUGCCUGUAAAAAUAGACGAAUAAAAGUUUCAGGUCCACCAACAACCACGGAGGGAGUUAUUUUUGAUCAGUGGUAAUCAUCUCCAGUGACCAUAACAUCAGCUGUGGAAAGCUUAUAUCCUCAGGGUGUUCACAAAACUAUAACUAUGAUAGAUUUUUCUCACUUAUUAGAGAAUAAUAAUCCUAGAAGUAGUGUCUGUAGAGAUCGUACUUGCCCAGGGAUUGGCUCCCACCUUUGUCAAUCAAUAACCAUUAAGUGGAGGAAACUGAAUAGAUUAGCAGCUCUGAGGCAAAACACAUUGUUGGAGCUGAGCCAUUCAGGACUAAAUCCAGAUGCAGGAGUCCCAGGGCUUGUCCACAGGCUGUAGGAAGCCCCCUCUUCAGGGGACAAUGUUUUCAUUCUGCUUUAGGUAGCACACUCUAAAAUCUCCUAUGUUUGCAUCCCUUCCCGUCUCUUCUAUGUCUGUGUCUUUGUAGAGAAUGCUCUCACUUUGACAGUCUGAACGAGUUCCUUGGACCACAGUUAUACUAAAGCUACUACAACUUCAUGGCUUAAAAAUGACAGAAAUGUAUUCCCUUAGAGUUGGGAAGGCCAGAAGUCCAAAAUCAAGGUGCUGCCAUGGCGAGGUCACUUUGGAAGUUCUGAGGUAGAAUCCAUUGCAUGCCUGCCUCCUAGCUUCUGGUAGAAUCUGGAAACUCUAUGUGCUUUGACCUAGGUUUACAUAGCCCUUUGUCUUCACACAGCUUUCCAUUCUGAGAUUUCACAUCUAUUUCCUCUUCUCUUACAAAGAUGCUAGUUAUUGGACUUAGCCCCUCCACGCUCCCAAGGAUGAGUUCAUUUUAAGGUAGUUAACUUUAUUACGCCUGCAGAAAGUUUUUUUUUCUGAGUAAGAUCACACUAAAAAUAUAAGAUUUAGGCCGGGCGGUGGUGGCUCACGCCUUUAAUCCCAGCACUCAGGAGGCAGAGGCAGGCCGAUCUCUGUGAGUUCGAGGCCGGGCAAGGACUGAUGGCGGGAGAAUGACACAGUUCAUCCUGUCUCUCAAUCUAAGGGGAACAAUGCCAAGUGUGUGAAGGAGAAACACGUGACUCUGAAGGCAUUUAUUUCUUUUAUUAUUUAUUACUUUUGCCAGUGAUUGGCUCUGGAUUUUGGUUAAAUGUCUUGCCACUCUGUGCCUCAUCUGCUUAAAAAUGGAACAAAAACCAACCUUUAUAGAAAUAUAGACAUCCUCACAGUACGAUUAGGAUGUGAUCAGAGAGUUGUAGUGUUCAGGACAGCCCUACCAUAGUAAAAUACUUGUUUGUUUGAUUCCCUCUAUUACGAGAGCAGUCUCUGUUCUGUCAUCUAGGAUUUGACAUCUGAGAAAUUAGGCAUUUCAGCUAGUUGUGUUUACUGUAAGUAAAUGUCUACUAAUUUCUUAAGUGUUUUAUAAAACUUUUCUUGGUUCUUUGUGGUCAACAAGAAAUCAACAAAUGUUGUUAAUUAUUAAAUGUUUUUAUGAAACUGGAAACUUCAAGUUAAAGGAGUCCCAGAGAAGGAGAAAAUGAAGCUUUCUUGAGAAAUUCUUCUUGGGUGUGAGUGAAAAGGCGGGGUUAACAAGCAGAGUGGGCUUGAUGUUCCUGCUGGUUUGAUGAACAUUUGCUUUGGCCGUGUGACUGUUCCCAAGGCUAUCAACAGCCAGGCCAGUCAGGACAAGGCCCCGGCAGGGGGAAAGCACGAGCGGUCUGGGGUCCAAAGGAGCAUCAGAGAGUUCUCUGCACACGCACAAGGAAGGAAAGGAGGCUGGGAAGUCAGGGCUUCCCAGGAGCCUGGAGCUCUUUUCCAAGAACGCUUCUUUUUUUAAUGAGACACGAUCUUAUUCUAUAGGGCAAGCUGGCCUCAAACCCGUGAUCAGUUUGCCUUGGUCUCCCGAUGAUGCUUUGACUAUAGAUGUUGGCUAUCAUAUCUGGGUUUCAAGCAGAUCUUUUUAUAGCAAAAUAUUAUUUUUUGUAUAAAUUGUUUUUUUCCCUCUUUCUCUUCUUUUAUGUGUCCUCUUAACAUCCAGGAAAGCUUUUGAUCACAUUUUACUUCAACAACUUUGGAAGGACAUGCUUAGGUCUGUGAUUGUUAAGAUGACUAGGCUACUCUCAGAUUCUUGUCUGAUUAGUCAAUCAUGGUUUUACAUGUUUUGGAGCCUCUUGUGUAGGUUACUAUGUGUUGAUGGAGUGUAAAGCAAUUUUAAAUAUUUUCUACAUAGUAUUUUGUCCAUUUGGUACUCUUUUGUCCCAUUGCAGCCAAAUGUGUUCCCCAUGCUGUAACUUGAGCAAUGUUGUGAUUGUUUCUCUGUAAGUGACCAUAUCAAGGCUGCAAACUCCAUUGGUAUUGUCAAUCUGGAUCUCGAGAUGAAGGAACACAGGACAUGUACAUUCUACUAGAGGGAACACUUGACUUACUUCCUUCUUCCAAAAUAAAUCAACAGCUACAAACACUAAGGUCUCUGCAUCCAGCUGUACUUGGUUCCUGGGGACCAAAUUGCUAAAAAGACAUGUUUCCUAACAGGUCCCACGUGUGCCCCCAGAGUAACCGCAUUUAACCAUACCUUCUACUAUCUGACUUUCAGCACUCGUAGACAUCAUCACAUGAAAUUAUAGUGAGUACACACAGCAGAAUCAUUGAAGGACAGAACUUAUUGUGGAAAGGAAAGAUGGUAAGCUAUCAAAGAUGGGAUCCCUGAGGCCAAACUACACAAACCUGUUUUGGUUGAUUUGGGUGUCAGAUAGAGGUUUGUGUGUUGGAGGCUUCAUCCUCAGUGGGAGGCAAAGCCUUGUGUGAAGUUAUUGCACACUUUGACCUUGACCACUGUUUUCUAUUGUCAUGAAAUAUGACAAACUACCCAUUACCGUUUUCUUCUGCAUUUUAGUCCAAACGGUUAUAACACUGUGUUGUUAAGGAAAAGCAUCCUGAAUGUAUUAUUGUGACAUCACUCUUCAUCCAUCAACUUAAAAACAAAAAGGAUUCAUUGUACUGGAAGACAUCUGUGGAAAGACAAAAAUUCUCAGGAAAACAUUUUUUUGGGAAAUUCCCAAUACAAUGAGCCUAGACAAGUAAAACUCCACAUCAAAGCCGCCUGGCACUGGUUCUAGGUCAUUGUUGUGAAUUUUUUUUUUUGUGUGUGUGUGUGUGUGUGUGUGUGUCUGGGACACAAAUUAAGGAGGGUUUUUUUUUGUCAUUCAGAAUUCCAAGAAAUAUUUUACAGUUUGGAUCUGAAACGUUCCCCCACAUAUUUUGAACGACUAGCCCAUAACCCGUGAUUCUGGAAACUGGCAAGUGGGGCCUAGUUGGCAGAAAUAGAUUCUCCUGGUAGGUCUUCGAAGGUUUUACCCAGUCCCUGGUUCUUGACUCACGUUUAAUUUGCUGGUCUGCUGUGACAUGCUGUGCUCUUCUGACACCACGAAUUGAGUGACCCUACAUGUGAUCUCUACAGCAGUGAACUGGACUUUCAGAAACCUUGAGGCAAAGUGAAACUUUCCUCUUUUAAAAUGCAAAAGCUGUGACCGAAACCUGACUGUGCUGACUUGCAGAAGAAAUUCUGAAGUGUUUGAUGAUGUGGGCUGGACAAGUCCCAGAACAACCCUGCAAGCAGAAUUUAGUAGAUGAUUCUGGUAGAACUUCAGAAAACCAGAAUGCUUAGACAAUGAAUGACAGACUCCUGAGGUUUCAGAUGGGAAUUAGACAGGAAAUGCGUGCUAUACUCUGCAAAUAAUUUGCCUAGGUUCCAUCUAUAUUAUGAGAAUUUGAGUGAAAUUUAAUUUAGAAGUAAUGGACUAGUGAAAUUGAGGAGGAAAUUUCAAGUUAGCGCAGCAUUCAAUCAGUGGCAUGGUUAUUACUGGCCACUUUUAGCCAGGUUUACAGUGAGAAUUGGGAUCAGAAAGUAAAACAGAAAGAUGAAACAAUAGCAGCAGCCAUAUUGUUUGUCAGGAAGGAAGCUUGUUUUUGAAGCUGGAAACUAAGAGGCCUUGAUUGUGAAAGAGACUUAUGCCAAGUAAUUUUGGUGGGAAAAUAGAAAAGGUGGCUGGGGGCUUUUCGUAACUGGCAAGAUCCCAUGUGCUGCAGGCUCUGUGAUGUAAAACUGAAAACCCAUUUACAAGAUUUUUCUUUGAAAAGACAGAAUUCCCAACACCCUGCUAAAGAAGAUCCACCAAGGGAAUUAUUUUCCCAUGCUCAGCCACUCAGACACCUAAAAAGCUGCUACAGUCCCAUCGUCCAAGGAGGCUCAGCCACUCCCUGAGCUGACAGUGGAACUUGUCACCAUCCACACGGUAACUGAUUCUGUGGACAUGCAGAGUCUGAGUGACGGGGUCCUGGAGGCUUCCACCAAGGUUUUGGAGAAAGCAUGGGUGGGUCCUCCACAAGAGAUACCCGAGAAGCUUUUAUGUGCAUCUGUGAGAGUGGUACCCAGGUUGCCACAGAGAUGCCAGGGUCUUGGAGAUGCAGGAACAGAAGAUGCCUGCUUUGUGGUCAUAUAGGAUGCAAAGGAUGCUGAGACAGCCUAGACCUGAGCCGUAGAAACUGGACAUUGAGUUGUGAGACUUAAUGUUUUCCCUGCUGGGUUUCAGUCUUGCUUUGGUCCAGUUCCUCCUUGGGACGGCCUCAUUCUUGCCCCUGUGAAUGUUUGUCUUAUGCCACUGCACAUUAGAAGCAGCUAAUUACCCUGUUGACUUCACAGUUAGGAAUUUGCCUUUGGUGCCCCCUGCUUAUGUGACUCCAUUGAAAAUCAUUCCCGGGGUGAGCAGGGGAAAUCCAUCAAAGAACCAGGCGACCACGUGACCAGCCUCAGAAAGAGGCGGCUCCCAAAUCUAGUGUGGUGGGAUGUAUCUUUGAAAAGCACACCCUGGGUCACAGGGAGAGCCAGUCUGAGUCCCCCAAAGCCACAAGUGAUAUCACUGGGCCCCAAGGCAGGGCGUGCCUUUGUCUUUUCCGUAAGUCACUCCAAACAUCCACUUACGCUCUUUAAUUUGUACCAUUCCUUCAAGGUCUUGAUUAUGUGGUCUAUAGGUCUUUGCAACUGACUUGCAGGAGAAAUUUGGAAGUGUUUGGCGAUGCAGGCUAGAGAAGUCCUAGGAAAACCCUGUAAGCAGAACUUCGCAGGUGGUUAUGGUAGAACUUGAAAGCCAUGACUGAGUACAGACCUGAUUUUGUGCCUAGCUCACUUCUGAUCUUACCUUCAGUGAACUUCUGUUGCCUGCAAGGUGCGGGACUCUCAGCUACUCCUCCAGCACUGUGUCCGCCUGCACGCUGCCGUGCUCCCUGCCGUGAGGACCGUGGACCGAACCUCGGAAACAAUGUGGAAAUCGAGCUUUAAAGUGAUUGCCCUGUGUCACGCAUCUCAGAAGAUGUUGGGACCGACAGUCCAUGUUUCAGCAGCCGGUCACACUUCUGUGCCUCCGUACUUGGCAGCUACAGACCUGCCCAGACAAGCCUUGGUCUCUGGUGUGCAGCUCUGUCACCCAAAGGCAACUGGCAGGUUCGUGUGAGGCCACCGGUGCCAAUUCACCAGGUGUGGCGUCUGCACAGAGAGCGACACUGGUAAGAUGAGUGACACAUGGAGGCUCUGACAAGCUUCUGUCGGUUGGAAUGUGCAUGUCCAGAAUACACACAGGUGUUUCAAACCCUGCAGUGCUUUUCAGUAAGUACCACAUGCCCAUAAAGAUGCCCAUGCAUUUAUUAAGUGGGAACACAGGGUGGCUGAUUCAUUACCUCUUCCUUCUAACCUUGAUAAGAUGGUUAGAAUUUGCUCAGAAAUGCCUUCUAUUGACAAUAGAAACGAUGUACUGUCUCCGUUUCUUCUCUUGUUCCUUAACUUCCCACCCAUACCUGUCUUUUCCUCUCCUGUCACUGUACUCCCUCAUUAGCGUGCAACAAAUUUGCACAUUUUUCCCCUUGAGUAGAUGUAGUUUCACUCUCCUUCCUGACUGGCUGGCCCUCUUACCUUUGGCGAAUAACUUUGCCAGGAACGUUAAGGGAAAGAGUAAUAUUUCCUUUAGGAAAUCUAGAUGUAUUAUCUCAUACAGAUUUUUAUAAGCACUUAGUGUUCCCGUGGAGCACACAGCCACACAGCUAUCCCUUCCUACCUGAAUGACCACUCGGUCCACGGUCCUCUCCUGACCAAGGUUAUUAGCCUAUGGUAGAUUUACUCCAAGUCUGCUUGACACCAGAGUCUAGUCUGAUGUUUCAACACUAAACCAGACUGUCCUUCCAGCAAGUCAGGCCCUCUGUGGCUCUCCGAUGUAACUUUCCCUUGGAAGUGUAAACACUAUGAGUGUUAAGUGUCUUUUUGGAAGUGGUGGUAGACUAUGGCUGGGGCUUUCUGUUCUUAAGUUGAAGAAUGAAAGUGACUCAUCAGAUUCCAUUUGUACAGACCUGAGGACUGGAACUCCCCAACAGCUAGGGGAAAGAAUGCUUUCAAUCAUGUGACAUGGGCUCAUUGUGUCUUAGGCUGAGCUGGAUGACCUCCUCUAACCCCACCAUUUGCUGCAAAGGAAGUCAAGAGACCAAGAAGCUCAGUGACUCGUCUGAGGAUGCAGCUCUGUUUGAGGCAGGCCAAGACUGAAUUUAUUUUUAUUGAAAAUAAAUUGCUUUUCCCAAUCCA